CGGGCUUGUAGUUUAAUUAAAAUAUUAGCAUUGGAAGCUAAAGCUUGGGUAAAUAAUCCCACAUCCCGA
rnacentral:tRNA from 1 species